CGUGAAAAAACCCCUAUUUUUUUUAGUUUUUUGCCCUAAAUCUCUCACUCUCUUAGUCGUCGCCUCCUCUCAAAUCUCAAUCUCUCAUCUAAAGAGACGAAGUGACGAACCCUAAGAUAACCCUCGCCUCCUCUGAAGUCUGACCUCUCAUCGCCUUCGCCUGAGUCGCCUCCUCUCAUCUCCUCAGUCCUCAUCGACCUCGCCUGCUCUCAGAUUUCAUCAUUAAUCGUCUCCGAUCUCUAGUCAUUCAUAAUUUCAUCCUCACUCCCAUCUCAGAUUUCUGAGUCAAGUGAAUCCUCCAAACUUCUCAGACAGUGACACGGUCACACGGCUUCUCCGCUCUACACCCACGCACCAUCUCAGUUUAUUGGGUUAAGGAGUUCAAAUUUCAACUCUGAACUUUCUCUCUCUGCAACUGCAAACUACAAAAUCUACAAGAAUCAGAUGUUCAAAACCCAUAUAUUUCAGUUUAUCUAUCUGUCCGCAAGAAUCAAAAGUUCAAAGCCCAUAUCGGCAUAUCAUUUCAGAUUGUUCAAAAAAUCAAAACCCAUAUCUUUCAGUUUCCAUCGCCCGCUAUUCCAGAUCGGGUUCAUCGUUUGCAAGCUUCAGCCGCUGGCCCGUUAUCCCUCAACUCUCAAGCUUGCCCCCUCUCUCUCUGCAACUGCUACCUUGGCUAGCAUCAGGCCUUAACAUUUAGCAAGAACAAGGUUCAAGAAACAUGGCUCCUCAGUCAGCAGGUCUCUUUUUCAAAGAAGAGAGUUGAUUGGGAAUGGGUGGAGCCGGCAAAAGAAAAUAGAAAUGCAGGAAGUUUCUGAUUCUCGGAAGACCACGGACUUAAAAAUUUCAAAGCCUUAAUCCUGACUCAUAUUGGCCAGGGAUGGGUGCAAGGUGUGCCUCCACAUAAGGGUUGGAAGGGACCUAAAGGUUGGGAUUCAUUUUUCAAUUUUGAAACAUCAGUGGCAACAAAUUUGGAGAAACAUCCGUUAUUGUUGAAUGAAGUAGAAAAGUUCAGAUAUUACACGGCAAUUUACCAGUUUACGAAAUAUUGCAAUAACCAUUAUAAUUCGGCUGCCAGAAGUAGAGUAUAUGGCUUGAAACAUCCUUGUGGAGAGCUAACAUUGGGGCCUUAACAUUUUGCAAGAACAAGGUUUAAGAAACAUGCCUCCUCAGUCAUCAGGUCUCUUUUCUGAAAGAAGAGAGUUGAUUGGGAAUGGGUGGAGUUGGGCAAAAGAAAAUAGGAUGUUGUUCAGGAAAUAAUUGAUGAAGAGGAUGAAAAACUGAAAAGUCUAAAGAGUGGAUGAGAUGAACCAAUAUAACCCCAGUGUCAGAUACCCGGUUGCAGAGCUAUGGUAUUACAGAGAAGGUAGAAAAGCAACACUGAGAGAGGGAGCAGCAUGUAUACUGGAGCAGUGGAAAUUGUACAAAAAGAAGAGAAACUGAAAGCUGUGUUGUGAAUUUCAAACGUAGAUGAGUCUUGAAAGAAGAAUUCAACAGCUUUAACGAUUUUAUACCUUAGAUUGUACAUGCACGGGCUGCAAACAAGAGUGCAGGAUUAUCCAAUGUAAAUGUAAGUGAAAUGGAGAACAUCUGAACCUCUUUUUAUUAAACUUUAUUGCCUGAGGUAGUGUUUUGAUGUGUAUUGAAAUGAAUUUAUUCCACAAGUAGUUGGAAUAGUGCGAUUGAUCGCUACCUGCCGUUGGAAUAAAUGAGUUUUAAUGGUGUCUGAA